rnacentral:lncRNA from 1 species
UUGGAACUCUAUUUGUGUUCACGUCAUUUAAAAUUUGCUCCAAGUCACCUUUUGAUGCUCUUUGAGUAUCUUGAGUGUUUUUAGCCUUUUUUACAUCACAAAACUUAUCUGCACAUUUGGGCCUUCUUUCAUGAGAAACCUAAUCAAAUUUGAAUUUUAUCAUAUAGAUAAUUGGCUCAUAAGUUUCAGAACAAAUUCUGACUUAGGUACAUUGGAUCU